CCCAAAAUAAAUAGGACGUGACAAAAAAUUUGGGCAUGGCUUUUGGUGUGGAGGUGGUUAAAUGCAUAUGGAACACUUUCAUAAAAUCCAGAUAAACCAACUAAUAAAUUAGAUGGUUCAAACCCAAUCAUAUUAGGUCAAGGCAAGAAGACUAAGUUAGCACAAACACAUUUGCACUAAACCCAAUUGAGAACUUGGGUUAAUUCAUGUGC
rnacentral:lncRNA from 1 species